AGUGAACGCUGGCGGCGUGCCUAAUACAUGCAAGUCGAACGAAGUGGCGCACGGGUGAGUAAUAUAUAGUUAAUCUGCCCUACACAGAGGAACAACAGUUGGAAACGACUGCUAAUACCUCAUAGUGUAGGAUUAGACUAUAUCGUAUCAGCAAGUUGGUAAGGUAAUGGCUUACCAAGGCUAUGACGCGGAACUGGUCGGAGAGGAUGAUCAGUGACAUUGGAACUGAGACACGGUUCAACAGCCUACGGGAGGGAGCAGUAAGGAAUAAUGCGCACUGGGGGAAACCCUGACGCGGCAUCGCCGCGUGGAGGAUGACUCUUUUCGGAGAGUAAACUCCUUUUAUCAGGAAAGCGGUACCUGAUGAAUAAGCACCGGCUAACUCCGUGCCAGCCGCCGCGGUAAUAC
rnacentral:rRNA from 1 species